AUUGAACGCUGGCGGCAGGCCUAACACAUGCAAGUCGAGCGGAUGAAGGGAGCUUGCUCCUGGAUUCAGCGGCGGACGGGUGAGUAAUGCCUAGGAAUCUGCCUGGGAGUGGGGGAUAACGUCCGGAAACGGGCGCUAAUACCGCAUACGUCCUGAGGGAGAAAGUGGGGGAUCUUCGGACCUCACGCUAUCAGAUGAGCCUAGGUCGGAUUAGCUAGUUGGUGGGGUAAAGGCCUACCAAGGCGACGAUCCGUAACUGGUCUGAGAGGAUGAUCAGUCACACUGGAACUGAGACACGGUCCAGACUCCUACGGGAGGCAGCAGUGGGGAAUAUUGGAAAAUGGGCGAAAGCAUGAUCCAGACAUGCCGCGUGUGUGAAGAAGGUCUUCGGAUUGUAAAGCACUUUAAGUUGGGAGGAAGGGCAGUAAGUUAAUACCUUGCUGUUUUGACGUUAACAACAGAAUAAGCACCGGCUAACUUCGUG
rnacentral:rRNA from 1 species